rnacentral:lncRNA from 1 species
GUGAAGGAAAAAUAGGAUAAAGAUCCUAGUCUAGUUAAGUUGAAAGAAUUAGUCAAAGAUCAGAAAGUGGAGGUUUUAUCCCAAGGGUGAGAUGUUGUUUUGCAUUGUUAGUGUAGAUUGUGUGUACCUGGUGUAAUGAGUUGAGGCAACAAAUUCUUGCAGAAGCGCAUGUUGCACGUUACUCUAUUUAUCUAGGGGACGCUAAGAUGUACCACAAUUUAUGGGAGAUCUAUUGGUG